AACUUUUGACGGUGGAUCUCUUGGCUCACGCAUCGAUGAAGAACGCAGCCAGCUGCGAUAAGUAGUGUGAAUUGCAGAAUUCAGUGAAUCAUCGAAUCUUUGAACGCAAAUGGCGCUCUUGGGUUCUCCCAGGAGCAUGUCUGUCUGAGUGUCGGAUU
rnacentral:rRNA from 9 species